AGUGAACGCUGGCGAUAGGCCUAACACAUGCGAGUCGAACGGCAGCACAGUAAGAGCUUGCUCUUACGGGUGGCGAGUGGCGGACGGGUGAGGAAUACAUCGGAAUCUACUUUUUCGUGGGGGAUAACGUAGGGAAACUUACGCUAAUACCGCAUACGACCUACGGGUGAAAGCAGGGGAUCUUCGGACCUUGCGCGAUUGAAUGAGCCGAUGUCGGAUUAGCUAGUUGGCGGGGUAAAGGCCCACCAAGGCGACGAUCCGUAGCUGGUCUGAGAGGAUGAUCAGCCACACUGGAACUGAGACACGGUCCAGACUCCUACGGGAGGCAGCAGUGGGGAAUAUUGGACAAUGGGCGCAAGCCUGAUCCAGCCAUACCGCGUGGGUGAAGAAGGCCUUCGGGUUGUAAAGCCCCUUUGUUGGGAAAGAAAAGCAGCAGGUUAAUACCCCGCUGUUCUGACGGUACCCAAAGAAUAAGCACCGGCUAACUUCGUG
rnacentral:rRNA from 1 species